UUGCAGACUGUUAUCCCUUUUUGGUCUGCUGUGACCCUAGAGGGAGUCUGUCUGCUAAAGUGAAACCCUGAGCCCAGGACAGUGCUGUCUGCAGCGGGCCUGACCGCCUCUGAGCUCUGUGGACAAAC
ensembl:snoRNA